CCUACGGGUGGCUGCAGUGGGGAAUAUUGGACAAUGGGGGGAACCCUGAUCCAGCCAUGCCGCGUGUGUGAAGAAGGCCCUCGGGUUGUAAAGCACUUUCAGUGAGGAAGAACGCCUGGUGGUUAAUACCCAUCAGGAAAGACAUCACUCACAGAAGAAGCACCGGCUAACUCCGUGCCAGCAGCCGCGGUAAUACGGAGGGUGCGAGCGUUAAUCGGAAUUACUGGGCGUAAAGCGCGCGUAGGUGGCUUGAUAAGCCGGUUGUGAAAGCCCCGGGCUCAACCUGGGAACGGCAUCCGGAACUGUCAAGCUAGAGUGCAGGAGAGGAAGGUAGAAUUCCCGGUGUAGCGGUGAAAUGCGUAGAGAUCGGGAGGAAUACCAGUGGCGAAGGCGGCCUUCUGGACUGACACUGACACUGAGGUGCGAAAGAGUGGGUAGCAAACAGGAUUAGAUACCCCAGUAGUC
rnacentral:rRNA from 1 species